AAAAAAGACAGAGGAAUUCAAAACCGGGAAGAAGACUCCCGAUAGGAGUCUUCUUCUCCGGCGAGAUCCGGGCUAGAUCAGGACUCCUAGGACCCUUGGAGUCCUAGGGCCCCCUAUAAGAAUACCCUUCUCCCUUGAGACCGGACAUCGGCUUCUUCCCUCUCUCCUUCUCUCCGAUUUUCCCGAAAUAGAGCCGCGGACACCACCUUGUCUUCGCCGUAACUGCUCUCCGACGAAGUCAUCGGAGGUCAAGAUAAGCUUCCCUCCUUUUCCUCUCUUCCUUCCCCUUCUUUCUGUGCUCUUGUGCGCGGC
rnacentral:lncRNA from 1 species